GCACCCGUUUUAUUGCUGUUAUGGGUUUGAAGCGAGCUUAGCCUUGUUCAUUUUUUUUCACAAUAGUCAUGUAAAAAAUUGAACACACUCUGCUGAGCACCGCGCCGGCCAAGGCCGAGACGCCAUAAGCGAUGCCCUGAAACGCCCUAUAAAUGGCCACAUUGCCCUUUUUAAGGGCGC
rfam:Pseudomonas taeanensis MS-3 contig_01, whole genome shotgun sequence.